ACGACGCUGGCGGCGUGCCUAACACAUGCAAGUCGAGCGGGGUCCAUCCAGUGGCAACACUGGGGAAGACCUAGCGGCGAACGGGUGAGUAACACGUGAGGAACCUGCCCCGAAGACCGGGAUAACCCGAGGAAACUCGAGCUAAUACCGGAUACCCCCACGAGAUCGCAUGGUCUUGUGAGGAAAUGUCUUUCGCUUCGGGAGGGCCUCGCGGCCUAUCAGCUAGUUGGCGGGGUAACGGCCCACCAAGGCAUCGACGGGUAGCUGGUCUGAGAGGACGAUCAGCCACACUGGGACUGAGACACGGCCCAGACUCCUACGGGAGGCAGCAGUGGGGAAUCUUGCGCAAUGGGCGAAAGCCUGACGCAGCAACGCCGCGUGGGGGACGAAGGCUCUCGGGUUGUAAACCCCAUUCAGGAGGGACGAAAUUGACGGUACCUCCAGAAGAAGCCCCGGCCAACUACGUG
rnacentral:rRNA from 1 species